UACGUAGGGGGCAAGCGUUGUCCGGAAUCAUUGGGCGUAAAGCGCGUGUAGGCGGCCAGAAAAGUCCGCUGUGAAAACUCGAGGCUCAACUUCGAGCUGUCGGUGGAAACUUUCUGGCUAGAGUCCGGAAGAGGAGAAUGGAAUUCCUGGUGUAGCGGUGAAAUGCGCAGAUAUCGGGAGGAACACCGGUGGCGAAGGCGGAUCUCUGGGCCUGUACUGACGCUGAGGAGCGAAAGCGUGGGGAGCGAACAGG
rnacentral:rRNA from 1 species